UGGGGAAUAUUGGACAAUGGGCGAAAGCCUGAUCCAGCAAUACCGCGUGAAUGAUGAAGGCCUUAGGGUUGUAAAGUUCUUUUAGUAGGGAAGAUAAUGACGGUACCUACAGAAAAAGCCCCGGCUAACUCCGUGCCAGCAGCCGCGGUAAGACGGAGGGGGCUAGCGUUGUUCGGAAUUACUGGGCGUAAAGAGCGCGUAGGCGGUUUUACAAGUUGGGAGUGAAAGCCCGGGGCUUAACCUCGGAAUUGCUCUCAAAACUGUAGAACUAGAGUGUGGUAGGGGAUGAUGGAAUUCCUAGUGUAGAGGUGAAAUUCUUAGAUAUUAGGAGGAACACCGGUGGCGAAGGCGGUCAUCUGGGCCACUACUGACGCUGAGGUGCGAAAGCGUGGGGAGCAAA
rnacentral:rRNA from 1 species